UACGUAGGGGCCAAGCGUUGUCCGGAUUUAUUGGGCGUAAAGAGCUCGUAGGCGGUUCGGCAAGUCAGCUGUGAAAUCUCCACGCUCAACGUGGAGGGGUCAGCUGAUACUGCUGUGACUCGAGUCCGGUAGGGGAGUGUGGAAUUCCCGGUGUAGCGGUGAAAUGCGCAGAUAUCGGGAGGAACACCAGUAGCGAAGGCGGCGCUCUGGGCCGGUACUGACGCUGAGGCGCGACAGCGUGGGGAGCAAACAGG
rnacentral:rRNA from 1 species